GCUAAGACUGGAUAGGAAGAAAUAAGGCAUCUUUUUUCUUUUAAAAGACCUAGUGAUAGGUAUACUUUAGGAGGGGCUUGCGCCAUAUUAGUUAGUUGGUAGGGUAAUGGCCUACCAAGACGAUGAUGUGUAGCUGGACUGAGAGGUUGAACAGCCACAUUGGGACUGAGACACGGCCCAAACUCCUACGGGAGGCAGCAGUAGGGAAUUUUCGGMAAUGGAGGAAACUCUGACCGAGCAACGCCGCGUGAACGACGAAGUACUUUGGUAUGUAAAGUUCUUUUAUCAAGGAAGAAAAGCAAGUGGUGAACCAUUUGUUUGCCGGUACUUGAUGAAUAAGCCCCGGCUAAUUAUGUGCCAGCAGCCGCGGUAAGACAUAAGGGGCAAGUGUUAUCCGGAAUUAUUGGGCGUAAAGGGUGCGUAGGCGGUCUAGUAAGUCAGUGGUGUAAUGGCAACGCUCAACGUUGUCCGGCUAUUGAAACUGCUAAACUUGAGUUAGAUAGAGGCGAGUGGAAUUCCAUGUGUAGCGGUAAAAUGCGUAAAUAUAUGGAGGAACACCAGAGGCGUAGGCGGCUCGCUGGGUCUUAACUGACGCUGAGGCACGAAAGCGUGGGGAGCAAACAGGAUUAGAUACCCUGGUAGUCCACGCCGUAAACGAUGAGUACUAAGUGUCGGGUUAAACCGGUACUGAAGUUAACACAUUAAGUACUCCGCCUGAGUAGUACGUACGCAAGUAUGAAACUUAAAGGAAUUGACGGGACUCCGCACAAGCGGUGGAUCAUGUUGUUUAAUUCGAAGAUACCCGAAAAACCUUACCAGGUCUUGACAUGUUUUUGCGAAACGGUAGUAAUAUCGUGGAGGUUAUCAGAAACACAGGUGGUGCAUGGUUGUCGUCAGCUCGUGUCGUGAGAUGUUAGGUUAAGUCCUAAAACGAGCGAAACCCUUAUCGUUAGUUGCCAGCACGUUAUGGUGGGGACUUUAACGAGACUGCCAGUGAUAAAUUGGAGGAAGGUGAGGAUCACGUCAAAUCAGCAUGCCCCUUAUGACCUGGGCUACAAACGUGAUACAAUGGCUGUUACAAAGGGUAGCUGAAACGCAAGUUCUUGGCCAAUCCCCAAAAACAGUCUCAGUCCGGAUUGAAGUCUGCAACUCGACUUCAUGAAGUUGGAAUCGCUAGUAAUCGCGAAUCAGCAUGUCGCGGUGAAUACGUUCUCGGGGUUUGUACACACCGCCCGUCA
rnacentral:rRNA from 1 species